UACGGAGGGUGCGAGCGUUGUCCGGAAUCACUGGGCGUAAAGGGCGCGUAGGCGGCUUGAUAAGUGUGCUGUGAAAGCCCGGGGCUCAACCCCGGGUCGGCCGUGCGAACUGUCGAGCUGGAGCACUGUAGAGGCAGGUGGAAUUCCGGGUGUAGCGGUGGAAUGCGUAGAGAUCCGGAAGAACACCGGUGGCGAAGGCGGCCUGCUGGGCAGUGGCUGACGCUGAGGCGCGACAGCGUGGGGAGCAAACAGG
rnacentral:rRNA from 1 species